AGGACGUGCAUUGCUCUCACGCCAUAGGAUCCACCAGACGCCAAAACCUCCACGGCAUCUACACCCACGGUAUAUGCCAACCACGUGUACAUCCAUCUUUUACUUAAUCUCUCUCCUGUGUCAUUAGCAGAUGGAUUUCCAUCAUUCCUCUCUCCUCUCUGCCAUGCCACAGCUCUGUUCUCACACACCCUUCGUCCCUCCCUCCGUACUGCCCAUGGCGAGAUGCAGCCGCCGCGCAGGCUGCCUCCCCUUGCAGUCGCCUGCCAGCCGGCUGUGAAGGCGCAGCUGCUCUUAGCUAGGCUUGCUCCUCCUUGGUGUGCUCUGCUCUGAGUGUGUGCCAGGUCGAGGAAGUAAGGGGCUAGCUGGGAAGAGGGGGAUGUGAGGGGCGCUCGCGGUGGGAAGAAAGAAAGGAUUGAGUCUGGUUACCGAAACCCCCCUUGGCACUGCUCGAGCGUGCCCGCACGGCCGUGGACGAGGCUGACGGCGCCCUUGCGGUCGAUGACGAAAACGAACCAGACUGCGGUCACCUCGGCGCGCACUCUGGCUCGCCGGCGACUACGUCGUUCUUGGAAUCAAGCAUGGCCUCAUAAAGGCGAUUCACCACAGCGUCGAAUGACGACAGCAGCGCCGCAGCGCCUGGUUCCCGUGCUGUGCACCUAGUCCACGAGGUGCGUCCCCUCCUCUGCCGGUGCGCUCCACGCGAGCUGCUUCAACUCAGAUAGCCUUCGCAGGUGCGAGCAGCAAGGGCGUUUGCCGUGCCACGGCUUCCGGCAGGAACGACGAGGGGGUGGGCACCUGUUGCGGCCGACGCCAUAUGACCCCGGCAACGACGACAAAUCUCGCGCGCGACCAAUCCACCGGAGAUCCAGACAAUAUGGCUUCGUGCUCGCCCGCGCGCCGAUCGAGUGCCACCGCAGCCUCGCCUGCAUGCUGCGUGCUCCUCCCAUGGCUCCCGUAGAGGCCGUGCGGGUCCAAGUUCUUCUUCACCGGCGCAUCGUCCGGCGGCCGCCGUCACGACUCACGCCGCGAGACGAGGGGAUGGAGGCAAGGGUUCCCGUUCAGAUCAGGGUUAGACUGCUCACCGCCGCUUUCAUGCCUGUAGAUCUCGGCUGGGUCCUCCUCGGUGGCAGAGAUACGCGGCGUCGACGGCGAGGCUGAAGCGGCGGUCGUGCUGCUAAGGCAGGCGGCAUCGGCCAGCCCCUUGCUGUGCGCUCCUGAUGAAGCUCGACCCUCUCGUCUCCUCCCUUUCCCUCUACGACAUCGCAGCCACCCACGGCGUCGAGGAUGGAAGCAAGGGCGGUCAGAGCGUCGGACUAUGGUUGAGAAGUUACUUGGUAUUAUUGUCGAUUGUAAUCGUAGUAUACUAAAAAUUGAUGAAGUACUGUGAUUGAGAAGGUACUUGGUAUUGUUGAUUGUAAUUGUAGUGUCGAUGAGUAUUGAUAUGAUACUAAAAUUGAUGAUAUAUUGUCAACUAUCCCGAUGGAAUUGACAUGUAUUCUGAUGUAUCUGCUAUAUACUAGGAUGUACAACUGGACUAGGUACUAAAUAUUGAGAUUACGUACAUUCAUUAA